rnacentral:rRNA from 1 species
GGGUUGUGAGGUUAAGCGACUAAGCGUACACGGUGGAUGCCCUGGCAGUCAGAGGCGAUGAAGGACGUGCUAAUCUGCGAUAAGCGCCGGUAAGGUGAUAUGAACCGUUAUAACCGGCGAUUUCCGAAUGGGGAAACCCAGUGUGAUUCGUCACACUAUCAUUAACUGAAUCCAUAGGUUAAUGAGGCGAACCGGGGGAACUGAAACAUCUAAGUACCCCGAGGAAAAGAAAUCAACCGAGAUUCCCCCAGUAGCGGCGAGCGAACGGGGAGGAGCCCAGAGCCUGAAUCAGCAUGUGUGUUAGUGGAAGCGUCUGGAAAGGCGCGCGAUACAGGGUGACAGCCCCGUACACAAAAGCGCAUGUGCUGUGAGCUCGAUGAGUAGGGCGGGACACGUGGUAUCCUGUCUGAAUAUGGGGGGACCAUCCUCCAAGGCUAAAUACUCCUGACUGACCGAUAGUGAACCAGUACCGUGAGGGAAAGGCGAAAAGAACCCCGGCGAGGGGAGUGAAAAAGAACCUGAAACCGUGUACGUACAAGCAGUGGGAGCNGUGACUGCGUACCUUUUGUAUAAUGGGUCAGCGACUUAUAUUCUGUAGCAAGGUUAACCGAAUAGGGGAGCCGGAGGGAAACCGAGUCUUAAUUGGGCGUUAAGUUGCAGGGUAUAGACCCGAAACCCGGUGAUCUAGCCAUGGGCAGGUUGAAGGUUGGGUAACACUAACUGGAGGACCGAACCGACUAAUGUUGAAAAAUUAGCGGAUGACCUGUGGCUGGGGGUGAAAGGCCAAUCAAACCGGGAGAUAGCUGGUUCUCCCCGAAAGCUAUUUAGGUAGCGCCUCGUGAAUUCAUCUCCGGGGGUAGAGCACUGUUUCGGCUAGGGGGCCAUCCCGGCUUACCAACCCGAUGCAAACUGCGAAUACCGGAGAAUGUUAUCACGGGAGACACACGGCGGGUGCUAACGUCCGUCGUGAAGAGGGAAACAACCCAGACCGCCAGCUAAGGUCCCAAAGUCAUGGUUAAGUGGGAAACGAUGUGGGAAGGCCCAGACAGCCAGGAUGUUGGCUUAGAAGCAGCCAUCAUUUAAAGAAAGCGUAAUAGCUCACUGGUCGAGUCGGCCUGCGCGGAAGAUGUAACGGGGCUAAACCAUGCACCGAAGCUGCGGCAGCGANGUUGGGUAGGGGAGCGUUCUGUAAGCCUGCGAAGGUGGCCUGUGAGGGUUGCUGGAGGUAUCAGAAGUGCGAAUGCUGACAUAAGUAACGAUAAAGCGGGUGAAAAGCCCGCUCGCCGGAAGACCAAGGGUUCCUGUCCAACGUUAAUCGGGGCAGGGUGAGUCGACCCCUAAGGCGAGGCCGAAAGGCGUAGUCGAUGGGAAACGGGUUAAUAUUCCCGUACUUGGUGUUACUGCGAAGGGGGGACGGAGAAGGCUAUGUUGGCCGGGCGACGGUUGUCCCGGUUUAAGCGUGUAGGUGUGUGUUCCAGGUAAAUCCGGUUCACUUUAACACUGAGGCGUGAUGACGAGGCACUACGGUGCUGAAGCAACAAAUGCCCUGCUUCCAGGAAAAGCCUCUAAGCAUCAGGUAACAUCAAAUCGUACCCCAAACCGACACAGGUGGUCAGGUAGAGAAUACCAAGGCGCUUGAGAGAACUCGGGUGAAGGAACUAGGCAAAAUGGUGCCGUAACUUCGGGAGAAGGCACGCUGACACGUAGGUGAAGUGAUUUACUCAUGGAGCUGAAGUCAGUCGAAGAUACCAGCUGGCUGCAACUGUUUAUUAAAAACACAGCACUGUGCAAACACGAAAGUGGACGUAUACGGUGUGACGCCUGCCCGGUGCCGGAAGGUUAAUUGAUGGGGUCAGCGCAAGCGAAGCUCCUGAUCGAAGCCCCGGUAAACGGCGGCCGUAACUAUAACGGUCCUAAGGUAGCGAAAUUCCUUGUCGGGUAAGUUCCGACCUGCACGAAUGGCGUAAUGAUGGCCAGGCUGUCUCCACCCGAGACUCAGUGAAAUUGAACUCGCUGUGAAGAUGCAGUGUACCCGCGGCAAGACGGAAAGACCCCGUGAACCUUUACUAUAGCUUGACACUGAACAUUGAGCCUUGAUGUGUAGGAUAGGUGGGAGGCUUUGAAGCGUGGACGCCAGUCUGCGUGGAGCCGACCUUGAAAUACCACCCUUUAAUGUUUGAUGUUCUAACGUGGACCCGUAAUCCGGGUUGCGGACAGUGUCUGGUGGGUAGUUUGACUGGGGCGGUCUCCUCCUAAAGAGUAACGGAGGAGCACGAAGGUUGGCUAAUCCUGGUCGGACAUCAGGAGGUUAGUGCAAUGGCAUAAGCCAGCUUGACUGCGAGCGUGACGGCGCGAGCAGGUGCGAAAGCAGGUCAUAGUGAUCCGGUGGUUCUGAAUGGAAGGGCCAUCGCUCAACGGAUAAAAGGUACUCCGGGGAUAACAGGCUGAUACCGCCCAAGAGUUCAUAUCGACGGCGGUGUUUGGCACCUCGAUGUCGGCUCAUCACAUCCUGGGGCUGAAGUAGGUCCCAAGGGUAUGGCUGUUCGCCAUUUAAAGUGGUACGCGAGCUGGGUUUAGAACGUCGUGAGACAGUUCGGUCCCUAUCUGCCGUGGGCGCUGGAGAACUGAGGGGGGCUGCUCCUAGUACGAGAGGACCGGAGUGGACGCAUCACUGGUGUUCGGGUUGUCAUGCCAAUGGCACUGCCCGGUAGCUAAAUGCGGAAGAGAUAAGUGCUGAAAGCAUCUAAGCACGAAACUUGCCCCGAGAUGAGUUCUCCCUGAGACUUAGAGUCUCCUGAAGGAACGUUGAAGACGACGACGUUGAUAGGCCGGGUGUGUAAGCGCAGCGAUGCGUUGAGCUAACCGGUACUAAUGAACCGUGAGGCUUAACCUUACAACGCCGAAG